UACGGAGGGGGCUAGCGUUGUUCGGAAUUACUGGGCGUAAAGCGCACGUAGGCGGCUUUGUAAGUUAGAGGUGAAAGCCCGGAGCUCAACUCCAGAAUUGCCUUUUAGACUGCAUCGCUUGAAUCAUGGAGAGGUGAGUGGAAUUCCGAGUGUAGAGGUGAAAUUCGUAGAUAUUCGGAAGAACACCAGUGGCGAAGGCGGCUCACUGGACAUGUAUUGACGCUGAGGUGCGAAAGCGUGGGGAGCAAACAGG
rnacentral:rRNA from 1 species